UACAGAGGUCCCGAGCGUUGUUCGGAUUCAUUGGGCGUAAAGGGUGCGUAGGCGGUUUGCUAAGUUUGAUGUGAAAUCCCGGGGCUUAACCCUGGAAUUGCAUUGAAUACUGGCGGACUAGAGUCCUGGAGAGGAACUGGAAUUUACGGUGUAGCAGUGAAAUGCGUAGAGAUCGUAAGGAAGACCAGUGGCGAAGGCGAGUUUCUGGACAGGUACUGACGCUGAGGCACGAAGGCCAGGGGAGCAAACGGG
rnacentral:rRNA from 1 species